GAAGUGUGAGAGUGUAAAAAGAGAACGGACUACGGGGCUAGGGGAAAGAAGAAAGGAAGAAGGUAGGCGAGUGAGGUUUUAACGACGGUGGCCUACUCGGCAGGGGUUAUCAAAAGGGAGAACUAAACAACGGAACUCGGACGAGGAGGAGUCGACGUCCGUAGGGGCGUCGAGUUGAGCAACAACGCCGGUGUCGGGUGUCCCCACAGACAGAUGUCGCCGAACAGAGAACCCGGCCAUUUGUCGCUGCCUACACAUCGUCCCAGGCUCCUCGUAGACGCCUUCCCUCCUCCGCUCUAGCAGCUAGACGUGCCACAGCAAAGGGAGCCGCAGGCACGUCCACUACACCCGCACCUAGAGCAGAGGUCGUCGUCGUACCUAGGUCGAACUCAUACUCCUACGACCGCUACAACAGAAGGGUUCGCGCGCUCGGUAGGCGUACCAGCAACAAGGGUGAGCUCCGUCGGGUUGUGUAGUAGUGGUAGGAGGUGUUGCAGUCAUAAGAAGCUGGAUGUCCACUAUGCGGCCUCCAUCAAACUAGAGAAUCAUACACGUGUACCAUGAAUGACCCCCACCACACUAGCGAAGUGUCUCGGCUACUGUUAGCUACUCACAGUUGUUUCCUCUAAAACCACGAACGUUGAUAACCUCCUUCUACUACAGAUACACAGUUAGGGACCUCCUUCUACUACGACUUCCACCCGAGAUUGUACACGGUGCACGACUUGAACUAAACUACGAUCGAGUGUGCAAACCAAAAGAACACGACGGUGGUAACGAUUAGACUAACGUUUUCGAGUAUUUUGUCUUGGAACGGAAGAGCGCCAGAGUGGAACGGGGCUAGUGAGUUCUAUCGUUUGUGGCGGUCGGACCAUGUUGUAUAGACAGAUUUCAAUCUGAAACAAGGGUACCACAACACCGUAGUUUUUAAGUCUAUUAGAUAUAGAAAGAAUUGGGACGUCAACACUAGUAAAUUAACAUCAAUGUACACAAAGACAUCUCCGUAGGAAGGUAACUACAUAUUAACCUUAUCAAUAACACAAGUAUCAAGAAAACCGGCUACCGUCGAUACAUAUAUCUAAAAGAGUUUU
rnacentral:rRNA from 1 species